GUUUCUCUGGGUUUGGCAGGAGCCAGGCCUAAGCCAUGGAUGACUGGACAUAGUAUCCACAGCUGAGAUGGGCAGCUGAGGGACAGAUGGUGCUCCCAGCAUCUCAGUGAGGAAAAAUUAGCCAAGAGUGCAGGUCAGUCACCUCUUGCUCAAGUUUCCCGACAGACGGCUCACCAGCUGAUACUCCAGGCCAGAGACCUAAGCGAGACCACCAUGUUUACAUGCCAGCCAACCACUAACCAUAGCUCAGAUCUUGGCUCAAUUUAAACAUUUUCUAAAUGAUCUUUGGAUUGAUAUUUUCUGGUUUGCUCCCCACCUUUGUCCUAUUACCUGCAUAGCCAAC
rnacentral:lncRNA from 1 species